GAUGAACGCUAGCGACAGGCCUAACACAUGCAAGUCGAGGGGCAGCAUAAAGGUAGCAAUACUUUGGUGGCGACCGGUGCACGGGUGAGUAACACGUAUGCAACCUACCUGUAAGAGGGGAAUAACCCGGAGAAAUUCGGACUAACACCGCAUAAUACCUCGAAGCUGCAUGGCCUUGAGGUUAAAUAUUUAUAGCUUACAGAUGGGCAUGCGUAACAUUAGAUAGUUGGGGAGGUAACGGCUCACCAAGUCAACGAUGUUUAGGGGUUCUGAGAGGAAGGUCCCCCACACUGGUACAGAGACACGGACCAGACUCCUACGGGAGGCAGCAGUGAGGAAUAUUGGUCAAUGGGCGAGAGCCUGAACCAGCCAAGUCGCGUGAAGGAAGAAGGUUCUAUGGAUUGUAAACUUCUUUUGUAAGGGAAUAAAAAAGCUUACGUGUAGGCUAUUGUAUGUACUUUACGAAUAAGGAUCGGCUAACUCCGUGCCAGCCGCCGCCGUAAAAC
rnacentral:rRNA from 1 species